AAUUYGCCCAUUAAUUGUGGGCUGGUAUGAAAGGACAAACGAGGGGGGCCCUGUCUCUCACUUAAAACUAAAAAUUGAUCUUCAGGUGAAGAAACCUGAAUUAACCUAUAGGACAAGAAGACCCCGUAGAGCUUAGUCCCCAAAUAUUUAUAAACAAUGCUAAUAUAGACACAGUUCAUAAACAAUCCAAGACUUAGCUGGGGCGGCUAAGGAAAAUAAAAUCUUCCAAUUAAAUUCAUAUACCUUAAGGUUUAUUUACCUUCUACCUUUUUAUUGACCCUUUUCAAGAACAAAAAACAUAGCUACCUCGGGGAUAACAGAUUAAUCCUUCUUGAGAGCCCGCAUUGACAGAAGGGUUUGACACCUCGAUGUUGGCUUAGAGUACCCAAUAGAUCUGCAGCAGUCUUUACAUGGUAGGUUUGUUCAACCUUUAAAACKCUACGUGAU
rnacentral:rRNA from 1 species